rnacentral:tRNA from 1 species
GGUUGGGUGGCUGAGAUAAUUAGGCGAUAGAUUGUAAAUCUAUAAACGGACAGGGUCCCCCAAUUA